rnacentral:rRNA from 1 species
UGUAAGCGUAUACCAAAGUUGUUGCAGUUAAAACGCUCGUAGUCGGAAUUUGGCAGUUCCGGAUGUGUGCACGUCGUGUGCGCACUUCGCGGGGAUUGCUUUUGUGGUCUUGCGUAGGAUGAGGCACUUUUAUUAGUGAACGUCCUCACGCAACCACUUUUUACUGUGAGAAAAUCAGAGUGCUCAAAGCAGGCAUUUGCCGUGAAUGUAUUAGCAUGGAAUAAUAGAAUAGGACUUGGUUCUAUUUUGUUGGUUUGUUGGGACUGAGUAAUGAUUAAGAGGGACAGUUGGGGGCCUUUGUAUUUCGGUGCUAGAGGUGAAAUUCUUAGAUUACCGAAAGACAAACUGCUGCGAAAGCGUCUGCCAAGGAUGUUUUCAUUGA